AGCAACACUAUUUCCCUCUUAUCCCCACCUAGCCAUUCUACAAAGCCGCUAAGACCUAACCUAGCGUGAGCUCAUGACCGGAGCCAUUCGAUCGAGAUCCUACGGUCCAAAUUUGGACGAAAGCGGCAAACUCUAACCAUCUUCCUCGAAAUCCACGCCCCACCAACCCUAGGAGCUAGCCAGCCAGCUCCACCCUCUCCCACCGCGUCAGGCC
rnacentral:lncRNA from 1 species